rnacentral:rRNA from 1 species
UUGACCUCGGAUCAGGUAGGAAUACCCGCUGAACUUAAGCAUAUGGGGGAAGCGGAGGAAAUG